rnacentral:rRNA from 1 species
GCGAAAUACGAUACGGGACUCAUCCGAGGCCCCGUAAUCGGAAUGAGUACACUCUAAACCCUUUAACGAGGAUCAAUUGGAGGGCAAGUCUGGUGCCAGCAGCCGCGGUAAUUCCAGCUCCAAUAGCGUAUAUUAAAGUUGUUGCGGUUAAAAAGCUCGUAGUCGAAUUUGUGUCCCGCGCCGCCGGUUCAUCGCUCGCGGUGUCAACUGGCGUGUCCGCGGGACGUCCUGCCGGUGGGCUUAGCCCCUGCGGGCGGCCCAAUCUCAAUCCCACCGCGGUGCUCUUCACUGAGUGUCGAGGUGGGCCGGCACGUUUACUUUGAACAAAUUAGAGUGCUUAAAGCAGGCUAAAACAUCGCCUGAAUACUGUGUGCAUGGAAUAAUGGAAUAGGACCUCGGUUCUAUUUUGUUGGUUUUCGGAACCCCGAGGUAAUGAUUAAUAGGAACGGAUGGGGGCAUUCGUAUUGCGACGUUAGAGGUGAAAUUCUUGGAUCGUCGCAAGACGGACAGAAGCGAAAGCAUUUGCCAAAAACGCUUUCAUUGAUCAAGAACGAAAGUUAGAGGUUCGAAGGCGAUCAGAUACCGCCCUAGUUCUAACCAUAAACGAUGCCAGCUAGCGAUCCGCCGACGUUCCUCCGAUGACUCGGCGGGCAGCUUCCGGGAAACCAAAGCUUUUGGGUUCCGGGGGAAGUAUGGUUGCAAAGCUGAAACUUAAAGGAAUUGACGGAAGGGCACCACCAGGAGUGGAGCCUGCGGCUUAA